rnacentral:rRNA from 1 species
GACGAACGCUGGCGGCGUGCCUAAUACAUGCAAGUAGAACGCUGAAGGAGGGGCUUGCUUCUCCGGAUGAGUUGCGAACGGGUGAGUAACGCGUAGGUAACCUGCCUGGUAGCGGGGGAUAACUAUUGGAAACGAUAGCUAAUACCGCAUAAGAGUAGAUGUCGCAUGACAUUUGCUUAAAAGGUGCAACUGCACCACUACCAGAUGGACCUGCGUUGUAUUAGCUAGUUGGUGAGGUAACGGCUCACCAAGGCAACGAUACAUAGCCGACCUGAGAGGGGGAUCGGCCACACUGGGACUGAGACACGGCCCAGACUCCUACGGGAGGCAGCAGUAGGGAAUCUUCGGCCAUGGACGGAAGUCUGACCGAGCAACGCCGCGUGAGUGAAGAAGGUUUUCGGAUCGUAAAGCUCUGUUGUAAGGGAAGAACGAGUGUGAGAGUGGAAAGUUCACACUGUGACGGUACCUUACCAGAAAGGGACGGCUAACUACGUG